rnacentral:rRNA from 1 species
AGUGAACGCUGGCGGUAGGCCUAACACAUGCAAGUCGAACGGCAGCACAGUAAGAGCUUGCUCUUACGGGUGGCGAGUGGCGGACGGGUGAGGAAUACAUCGGAAUCUACUUUUUCGUGGGGGAUAACGUAGGGAAACUUACGCUAAUACCGCAUACGACCUACGGGUGAAAGCAGGGGAUCUUCGGACCUUGCGCGAUUGAAUGAGCCGAUGUCGGAUUAGCUAGUUGGCGGGGUAAAGGCCCACCAAGGCGACGAUCCGUAGCUGGUCUGAGAGGAUGAUCAGCCACACUGGAAGUGGGACACGGUCCAGACUCCUACGGGAGGCAGCAGUGGGGAAUAUUGGACAAUGGGCGCAAGCCUGAUCCAGCCAUACCGCGUGGGUGAAGAAGGCCUUCGGGUUGUAAAGCCCUUUUGUUGGGAAAGAAAAGCAGCAGGUUAAUACCCCGCUGUUCUGACGGUACCCAAAGAAUAAGCACCGGCUAACUUCGUG